rnacentral:rRNA from 1 species
CCACUUGCAGGUAAACAGAUGGACCCACGAAGUCCUGUUGAACAUGAGAUUCAUUUACUUUGCUCGAGUGUUGUUUGGUUGUUCAACUCCGUCAAGGAGAGUCAACUGAUUAACGACUCGAGUAAAAGAUGCAUUUCUCUUGUUCACGUUGGAGCUCUGACCGCUUGAGAGUAUGAUUGCUCUUGUGUUGUCUUUGGAGAUGGUUAGACUUAUCCCGUCAAAAGGAUCUGUUUCUCACUCUAAGAUGUUAGACACAAAUCAUACUAACUUAAGUGGGUGAAGUUCUUGCUUAUUGCAAGUAUUCAGAUCAGCUUGUAUCGCCUGACAGUCACGUGCGUCAGAUGCUGGUUAUGCUCGGCUCUUGUUAGUUGAACUGAUCACACUGAAAAUUCGCAUUACUGCCAGUGUCUUUAUGAAUGAUGAUCCAGAGUAAGUAGGUCGGUCAUCCAUCUGACCCGUCUUGAAACACGGACCAAGGAGCCUAACAAAUAUGCAAGUCACACGGUCUUGAAUAGGCCUGUGAGGCGUAAUAAACAUAACGGUGUGAUCUUUUCUCACUUGUGAGAGAAGCGCAACACCAACCUGCACAUGCUACUUUUUGAUAGCUGAGUGGAGUUUGAGCAUAUUUGUUGGUACCCGAAAGAUGGUGAACUAUACUUGGGCAGGACGAAGCCAGAGGAAACUCUGGUGGAGGUCCGUAGCGAUUCUGACGUGCAAAUCGAUCGUCAGACCUGAGUAUAGGGGCGAAAGACUAAUCGAACCAUCUAGUAGCUGGUUCCUUCCGAAGUUUCCCUCAGGAUAGCUGACACUGAUCAAACUGUAGCACUCGGUAAAGCGAAUGAUUAGAGGUCUUGGGAUCGAAACGAUCUCAACCUAUUCUCAAACUUUAAAUGGGUGCGGAGCUAGACUUUCCUAACUUGGAAGCCUUGCUUUUUAGUAAGACAGAGUGUCAAGUGGGCCAUUUUUGGUAAGCAGAACUGGCGCUGUGGGAUGAACCAAACGUUGAGUUAAAGAACCUAAUGCCGACGCUCAUGAGACCCCAUGAAAGGUGUUGGUUGCUAUAGACAGC